rnacentral:rRNA from 1 species
UACGUAGGGGGCAAGCGUUGUCCGGAAUCAUUGGGCGUAAAGAGCGUGUAGGCGGCCCGGUAAGUCCGCUGUGAAAGUCCAGGGCUCAACCCUGGGAUGCCGGUGGAUACUGUCGGGCUCGAGUCCGGAAGAGGAGUGUGGAAUUCCUGGUGUAGCGGUGAAAUGCGCAGAUAUCAGGAGGAACACCAAUGGCGAAGGCAGCUCGCUGGGACGGUACUGACACUGAGACGCGAAAGCGUGGGGAGCAAACAGG